AACGCGAGGAAGCAACUGCGGCUUUUCAACGCCAUUUUAGGCGUUUCCAGCGUCCUUUGGCGGCAAGGUUGGUCUUAAAAUGACCGGUGAGUUGAGGGCUUCCUUUUAGGGGUAGCAGCGUCAGCGUUAGUGGCCGGAGGAAAGAGUUUCGGUGAAGUGACGACAACAGAAUUUUUGAGCUUUUUUGGCCGUCUUCGGCGAGCUUUGGCUGAUCAAAGGGCAUAUCUGGACCCCUCUCAGCUCAAGCUUUCCAAUGGCAGCAGUUUCGCGUCGAUUGGACUCCGUUUGAAAAUCAACGACCGAGAUCGUCCGUAAAUUUCUCCGAAUGAUUGGGGGGUCAGAUCGGAAGAUCAGUGUUGGAAUCAUCAUUAGUGCAUUGUUUCAAGUCCGUAGGCGCGUUCGGAUCGUCGAUCGGACUCCAGUAGCUGGAGGCGAGUCGACCGAGUUAUCAAGCGUCUCGGUAAUUCUCUAGCCUGAUGAUUUUAUAGUUUGUUGAGAAAAAUUAUAUAAUUAACUAUUGCGUUUAGCAUUAGAAAAAUUAUGUGAGGAUUGUUGGCCGAAAUAAAUAGUGUGUUGGACCGUUUGUCAAUAUGUGAUUUGUGAUGCAUUGCAGAGUUGGAAAGAUUAAUGCAGUUUGGGUGUCCCAACACCUGUUAAUUAAUCGCAGUAUAUUUGAAGUGUUUUUGGCAGGUUCUGGACCCGUUUUACGGGGGCUAAAUGUCCAUAUUUAGGGGAGAUUCUACCAAAUUUUCGAUAGAAUUCUUCCGAGUCGAAAUUCUUAGACAUGGAGUUCUAGGAGUCUAGGCCUAGGGUUAUUUAUCAAAUGUUAUACUUUUCUGAUUGAAUUGUUCCCGUGAUUAGAUAAAUCCGUCAGUUCGGCUCGCUCCACCCGAGGCAUCGGAGUAGGGCUAGGAGAUCGUCAGAACUGUGUUGAUAGUUUUUUUGCAAAUCUUUUCCUCUAGCAGCUCGAUUUCUUCAUCUUCGGGUUAAACGUAAUUGACUUUAUUGGUGAAUGAUCCUUGGCAAAGGCAUCAAUAUUGAAUACGGUUUUGGCACAAGUUAGUUAUGUUCGUAUCAUGACCUGUUCAGUUUCGGUGGAUGCAUCCAUUUUAGAGGACAGUGGCUAGAUGACACCAUAAUGGCACCUGAAGUGAUGGAUAGGGUCAAGGCUCAUGUGGGGGACCUCCAUCCCACCAAUAGUUCGUUUGCAAUGCCUAGUGAUUCCAUCGCUCCAUCCAUAUCCACAUCUAUAACUCCAACCCUAUCAAUAAUACCACCCCCAUUGUCAACUCCACCCAUAUCCACAGCUCUAUUCUUGAGUGCACCUCCAUUCACUAGAGUGCCAUCGCCGUCCAUUGGCACCUACUUGACAAUUGGCGAUCCAAGCCUGACUUCACACUCAUCUCCAUCACAACUGACUACACCUAUGAUGCCUGGUGCUGUGUUAAGCUCGGGUAGUUGUGGAAGUGGUUGUAAGAGGAUAUGAUUAGAAGAUAGAAAGUAAGUAAUGUUUUAUACUUUAUGUUAUGUUCAUUAUGUUUUUUUUAGUUUAACUAUUGUUAUAUGUGUUUAAUUUAAAUUUGUUGAGUCACACCACAUGGCUUCCCGUAUACCUGUAUAUUUAAGGAAAUUAUCUAUUAUGAGGGAUAUACAUGGAAGGCAAUGCCACUAGCAGCUCAAGAGGGAUACUAGUAUGAGUUUCAGGUAAUUUGCCUCAACUAUUUGAGGUUUGGAUAGUGCAUAUUACAUGGGAGACUCUGCCAAUUUUUUCAAAAAAUUGGUAUAUUUAAUUAUUUUAUGUAUAUAUAUUUGCCGAAAUGUUUUGAGUGGGAGGACUCUAUUAAUGAGAUUGUGAGGUUGGCAUAGGAGAAGCUAGCUGCCAGGAGAUAUAAUGAUAUGCUACACAGGUGGAGGGCAAGGUUGACCCCCAUGUGUUUCAUAGGAGGUUUGGGAUAAAUGACAGGCAAAGUAGUCUAAGAGUUCCUUCCGAGCAAUUGCAAUGCGUCAAUCGAGGAAUCAUCUGAGUGAAAUAGGAGGCCCUAGAUCGAGGCCGACGCGACACACUUAUGGCUCCAUCUUUAUUCAAGAGCACGUUAAAAGGAUCGUAAGGAGAUGUUGAAGGUGCAUCCCCGGUCAAGGUCCGGAUGUUCCAUGAGACUAAGAUAACUAAAGGCAAUGAUGGAUCGAGGCUAUAUGUGGAUGACCGCGCCAUGAAAGUUGGGGAAAGCCUUGAAGAGCGUAUAAUAGAGGCAUCUCACGGUGAAGUCGGUAAUCCGGUGACACUGUCCUAAGAGGAGGAGAGAAUUUUCUUAGAGACAGUUUAGGCUUUAUUACAUAGCAAAUAUGUAUAUGGGACAUGCAAGAAUAAGACAUCUUCAUAUCACUCUGAUGUCUUAACCUCCAUAGUUGCCACUAGUGGGAUUGAUGAUCACCGCUUUCGACAGCUUGAAGACACGAGCUUGUAGUUGGCAAAUCAGUUGCAGGAGAGACGAGUGGAUUCAGCUGUUGGAGACCACUAUGCGCUAGUUGGUGUAGAGGUUGACCCUAAGCACUCAACAAUAUGUCCUGACCCCCCGACGACAACUUAUAGCAAGAUCCACCUUUUGGUAAGUCGUAAAUUUAUUAGUACUUCUUCUUCUAUUUUUAGUAUUCUCUCAGUGUACAUCAACUUUAUGACCUUAGAUUUGGUUAUUUAUUGUU